rnacentral:rRNA from 1 species
UGCCAGCCGCCGCGGUAAUACGGAGGGUGCAAGCGUUGCUCGGAAUCACUGGGCGUAAAGCGUACGCAGGCGGACCGUUAAGUCGGGUGUGAAAUCCCGGGGCUCAACCCCGGAACUGCGCUCGAUACUGGCGGUCUUGAGUACGGGAGAGGAAAGUGGAAUUCCGAGUGUAGGGGUGAAAUCCGUAGAUAUUCGGAGGAACACCAGUGGCGAAGGCGGCUUUCUGGACCGAUACUGACGCUGAGACGCGAAAGCGUGGGGAGCAAACAGGAUUAGAUA